rnacentral:rRNA from 1 species
GUCAGUGGCGAACGGGUGAGUAAUGCAUCGGAACGUGUCCCGUAGUGGGGGAUAACUCGGCGAAAGCCGAGCUUAAUACCGCAUAUGCUCUGCGGAGGAAAGCGGGGGACCCGAAAGGGCCUCGUGCUAUGGGGGCGGCCGAUGUCCGAUUAGCUUGUUGGUGGGGUAAUGGCCUACCAAGGCGCACGAUCGGUAGCUGGUCUGAGAGGAUGCUCUGCCGCAACUGGGACUAAGACGCGGUCCAGACUCCUACGGGAGGCAGCAGUGGGGAAUAUUGCGCAAUGGGCGAAAGCCUGACGCAGCAACGCCGCGUGAGUGAUGAAGGCCUUCGGGUCGUAA